UGGAUUUUGGAGAAAAUCGGAUACAGAAAAUUUCUACUAAUUGGCAUGGUGGUCUGUCUCAUCUCUAUGUCUGGACCUGGGGCCUGCAAUCAUAGUGACUUUGCCUACCUGUAUCUCCCCACAUUCUACCAAGCUCCAACAAAAGGUGAUCAUGUGAUUCAUAAUGGCCAAUGAAUAGGCAGACUUACACAGUUUGUUGUUUUC
rnacentral:lncRNA from 1 species